UUGCGCUGGUCGAUGGCCUCGUUCACCGAUGGGAAGUCAUUGAGGAUGAGAAACUGCUUGAGGUCGGACACCAGUUUCAUCAGGGACUCACCGGCUCGGACCUGCGGCCACCAGGAGCAGAGCAGGGGUGUGAAUCUCGAGGAGCCUUCCACGUCAGCCAAGGAGGGCGGACCCCUCUCUAAGCACCACACGGCGCUCGACGUGAUGGACGUGGCCCACCACCUGCCGCCCCUCACACGACUGCCACAGACAGCCCUCCUCUCGAGAGGAGUCUCCUGAGGAUCGGUUUGCCCUUCCUCCCCCCGCCCCCCACCGGAAAGCCCCCGUGCGGACCGUGAGGCUCCCGGAGCCCGGGCUGUGCCCUCCACCUAGUGACUCACGAUGUUGGCAGCUCGCACGUGCAUCUCGUAAUUGUCCUGCUCGCCCUGAGUGGCCCUCGACACUUGAGUCUCGUCCUCGAUCUGGAGGACAAACAAGCAAGCCCAGAAUCGGCAGGUGCCCCAGCCCACAGGUGACUGGCCGGCUGCACACACCCACAGUGGCUGCCUCCUGCCUGUCGUCCGCUGUACCUUCGCCGCCGGGCACUGCUGACCUGACCUUGGGCGACGUUCAGCCGCACCCCCUCUCUCGUCAUCUUCUAAGGAGCUAACGGGCACCUUCAUUGGGACAGGUGGAUGCCUGUGUAUGUUGACUGCCUCGCCACGUGCAGGGAGGUCUCGGGCAAGUCUUUUUUGGGGUGUGGAGCCUUGUUCUGUGUGAAAUGGGGUCACUGGCUGAGGUGCUCGGUAAACCAACUGCCAAACGAGUAAAGGCACAACGUGGUUCUCUUAA